CAGAGUUAUCCAACUCCCAAACCCAUGUGAACUUAUCUCUUUGUUGCCUCGGCGCAAGCUACCCGGGACCUCGCGCCCCGGGCGGCCCGCCGGCGGACAAACCAAAACUCUUGUUAUCUUAGUUGAUUAUCUGAGUGUCUUAUUUAAUAAGUUAC
rnacentral:misc_RNA from 1 species